UGCCCAUGUUGGGUGAAAACACUCAGUAAAACCUGCCAACAUAUAAAUACAUGAAUGUGUAUUUGACUGACAACUAUUUAUUGCUCUGCCAGGCUGAGUGGGAAGUUUGAGUUUACCGCAGUAAAACUACAUGUCUGCCUCUCCAAAAAAAGCUGGCGAAUUGACAGCCCACAUAAAGCCAUCAGUGCAGGGGGAUCACCUGGGAAGGAGAGACAAAGAAAAACUCGCUCUGGAUCGACCUGCCCGAGGAUGUAAGGCUGUCUGAGUCACUGGCUUCGUUUAAGUCUCUCCUGAAAACAUACUUCUAUCAGAAAUCAUAUCCUGACUUUACC